rnacentral:rRNA from 1 species
UACGAAGGGGGCUAGCGUUGUUCGGAAUUACUGGGCGUAAAGGGCGCGCAGGCGGCUCUUCAAGUCAGAUGUGAAAGCCCCGGGCUCAACCUGGGAACUGCAUUUGAGACUGGAGAGCUUGAGUUCGGGAGAGGAGAGCGGAAUUCCCAGUGUAGAGGUGAAAUUCGUAGAUAUUGGGAAGAACACCGGUGGCGAAGGCGGCUCUCUGGACCGAUAC